UACGAAGGGGGCUAGCGUUGUUCGGAAUUACUGGGCGUAAAGAGCGCGCAGGCGGUCGUUCAAGUCGAGUGUGAAAGCCCCCGGCUCAACUGGGGAGGGUCACUCGAUACUGAUCGACUCGAAGGCAGAAGAGGGAAGCGGAAUUCCCGGUGUAGUGGUGAAAUGCGUAGAUAUCGGGAGGAACACCAGUGGCGAAGGCGGCUUUCUGGUCUGCUCUUGACGCUGAGGCGCGAAAGCUAGGGUAGCAAACGGG
rnacentral:rRNA from 1 species